rnacentral:lncRNA from 1 species
UUUUUUUUUUUUUUUUUUUUUUUUUUUUUUUGGCUUGCUUAAAAAUAUUCUGUGUAGAUGUAUCUGUGUUGCAAUCAAUGUGUGGUCAUUUGGCUGGUUAUCCUUUCCAAUAGAGCAAUUCAGCUGCUCUGACUGAUCUACUGAUUUCAAAUAGCCAACAUGACAUUAAAGGGCAAGUCUCUUUGUGAGGUCAUCAUUCUAUAUUUGGGGUUUAGAAAGGAAACAGUCUUCUUAAUAAAAACUGUGGGUUUGGACUUGAUUUUCUUUCCCUUUCCAGUGUGACACUUUUUUUUUUUUUUUUCAAUUUCUACAAAUAGUACAGCAGACUGAAUGAGAAUUUUGAUCCAUGCUUUGAUGUUUCAAUCAAAAGCACAGGCUGUUCAUUAUUUUAUGUAUAUAAUCCUGGACACACACACAUAUACACACCCUUCCCCAGCAUAAACUCCUGAUAUUUACACAUGGGAUUUCCUAGGGUCACAAUUGUUUUCCUCAGAAGUUACUCAUCUUCCUUUUUUAUAUGCUAACAGGUAAUUACAGACAACAUUAUCCUCUUUGAAAAUUCCCUGAAUUCUUGGAAAUGAACUGGUAACCAGUAUAGCCUUCUCCUUUUCUGUAGCAUUGAUAUCAAAUUCAUCAGAACAAUCCAAACACUGAUUAAGACAAAGUAUUAGUUGAUUUUGGUUGAGUCAUCCUUUGUUUUUAUCCCUUUCCUAUCCGGUAUCUCAAUCUCAUAAUUGCUUUUAAAUGUCACACAUGGUACCAGAACUGAAACACUGUUUGAAAUAAAACAUGACCAAUUAUUUGCUUAUUUACUACUAAAUGAACAUUGUCAAAUUAAAACAUCUUAUUUUCCACAUGUAGCAAAGCUGAAGGGAAAGAAAACUAAGGGAAAUGGUCCAAAUUCUUUUCUGCAGGGAUUUCUGAAAAGAAAUAAUUUCAAAUUAUGUGGAAUAUGCAUUUUUUCCAACAAAAGACACAAAGACAUUCUACGAUGUAGGGAGUGUUGUUAGUAUGCAGCAAUAGAGCUGAGCAUGUCCUUUCAUCUGUGAUUUCUAACUGGUUUCCCAAUUCUUUGUUUUGGAACUGGGUUAUCAACCUUCACAUUCAAAGCUUUACUGCCAAGAUUUGGGUUCUUCAGCCUGUGGACCAGCCCCAUGGUAGCCUGUGGAGGAAAUAUCGUGGAAAAUAUAUGGACUAAAUAGCUUAUUUGCUCACCACAAAGCAUAAAAGGAUAGUUGAAAUUUAGGUAUCUCCUUGCAAGAUUUUGGAUACAGCUGAAGCUUGACAGUUAGGGAAAAAAACCAUCAGUCUUGCAAGUUAUAAAAAUUUUUAAUUGCAGUCAUGCAGAUCCUUACUGGGAGCUAUGAGAUACCACAACCAGAGUGAUCUGCACUGGAUUCAGAUGGACUUCCCAAAUAAACCCACUCCCAAGGGAUCCCCUUGCAAGGACAAAAUUGUGAAAACUCUUUUUGGCUACCCAGACUGAGUGAGCCAGCCAGCUGAGCCCUCCCUGGGACAGCUAUGAAGCCAUAAAACAUACCUCAGUGGUUUCCAGGGGCAGGCAGGAUUGCAGUGGGACUUCUUGAAGUGCUUCAAUGCAUCUGAGCUCACCAAUAGCCCUUGUAGAAGGGAGCAUGAGGCUAUUAAAGGGAGUUUAAUCGUGUAGAAGUGAACCCUACAUUAAACCAGAUAGCAGCCACACAUGCCUGCUUCAUUGCAACUCGGCUGCACGACCUUCCCUGUAUAAUAGGUAUCGUUCUGUGUAGGAAAACCCUUCCCAUAAAUGCUGUUAAUCUCAUUCUAACCAUACUUUUGUAAAUACAAUGACAUGGUCAAUGGUCCCUCUGAGACCACAUUUCCCAAUAAUGAGGGAAAUGGUAUUUACAGGAAAGACUUAAAUAUUUCUUUUGUACCGGAGCAUGCAUUUUUGCAUGUAGUGUAUGAACCCCUAAUACAACUAUGACUAAUGUACCCAUCUAAUUAAAUUUUUACAGCAUUCCACCGUGUCAAUGUCAAAUAUUUGCAUCCAGUUACCCUCCUCAUAACACUGUCAAAUAAACUUCUGCUUU